GUCCCGGCAGGCGGGGUUACCCCGGCCAGGCCUGACUGGCGCCCUGUCUGCGCUGUGUCCUGGGACCCCGGUCACCGGGCAGGGUGGGACACCGAGGCCUCGCGGCCAAGCGACUCGCCGCGGUCGCCGGGCUGCGAACGGUGGAGCCGCCGGGACUCGGACCAGGACGCGAGCUCCAGAGCAGGGGAUGACAGGCCUGAGCCGCAGGGGCCGGGAGGAAGGCCGCGCUGCUGUCCUGGGGCUGGGCAGCCUCCGCAUUCACAGCGCAGACCGCUCUAGCCUUAGGCCUGGAGGGGACACCAGGAGAUGAGGCUUCUGGCUCAGCCUGCUCUCUGCAGCCACAGGCAAAGGCCAGGAAGGCCGGGGUGCGGGAGCUGGCAUAGGAGCUGGCUCCAGCUCAGGUCAUAUUUUUCUGUGUCUUUGGACGUCCAGUGACUUUUGGGCAGGACGUUGUUGACGACGGCAGCCCUGCAUCUACUGUCACCCUCUAAACAGCACUGACUUUUGUUCUGGGAUGAAUUCUGCCCUCCCAAAAUUCCUGCGUUGAAGCCCCAGAUCCCAUGGUCACUGUUUCAGGAGAUGGGACUCUUAGGAGGCAAUCGAGAUUAAGUGAGGUCAAAGGGAGUGGCCCUAAUUUAACAGGCUGAUGUCCUUAUUAGGAGAAAAAGAGGCACCCAGAGAGCGCUCCCUGCCAGGUGAGGACACAGCAAGGGGCUGCCUUCUGCGAAGGGGCAGGAAGCCCUCACCAGAAACUGCACUUUCCGGCACCUUAAUCUUGGACUUCC
rnacentral:lncRNA from 1 species